rnacentral:rRNA from 1 species
UACGAAGGGGGCUAGCGUUGCUCGGAAUCACUGGGCGUAAAGGGUGCGUAGGCGGGUCUUUAAGUCAGGGGGGAAAUCCUGGAGCUCAACUCCAGAACUGCCUUUGAUACUGAAGAUCUUGAGUUCGGGAGAGGUGAGUGGAGCUGCGAGUGUAGAGGUGAAAUUCGUAGAUAUUCGCAAGAACACCAGUGGCGAAGGCGGCUCACUGGCCCGAUACUGACGCUGAGGCACGAAAGCGUGGGGAGCAAACAGG